CAACUAACAGUUUCUGUAGGUUUUGAUACAUCACAAAUAUAUAAAAUAAUAUUUAAUUAUGUUACAUGACCACAUGUUACAAACCGAAUGUCAAAUCAAACUAAUCGAGGACUAGCUAAUUUUGCUGUGAAUGACGUUUCAGCAACUCCAAUUGAUUUGACAUCCGUUUUAAAUCUAACAGCCGAUUAGUAGACCUAUACUUUGACAAACGUUUCAGAAACCGGGCGUUAACCACAAAUUUAACAUUAU